GAUGGAGAACGCAGCGAAAUGCGAUAAGUAAUGUGAAUUGCAGAAUUCAGUGAAUCAUCGAAUCUUUGAACGCACAUUGCGCCCGCCAGUAUUCUGGCGGGCAUGCCUGUUCGAGCGUCAUUACAACCCUCAGGCCCCCGGGCCUGGCGUUGGGGAUCGGCGGAGCCCCCCGUGGGCACACGCCGUCCCCCAAAUGCAGUGGCGGUCCCGCCGCAGCUUCCAUCGCGUAGUAGCUAACACCUCGCGACUGGAGAGCGGCGCGGCCACGCCGUAAAACACCCAACUCUUCUGAAGUUGACCUCGAAUCAGGUAGGAAUACCCGCUGAACUUAAGCAUAUCAAUAGCGGAGGA
rnacentral:misc_RNA from 1 species